rnacentral:tRNA from 1 species
GCCAAGGUGGCAGAGUGGUAAUGCAGCGGCCUGCAGACCAAGAAUAAAUGAGAAAGCAGUCAGCCGCCUUUCCCCGGUUCAAAUCCGGGCCUUGGCU